rnacentral:sRNA from 1 species
CCCUCGACUGAUGGCGACGGCCGGCUC